UAAAAACACAAAAAAUCUGCACAGACAAUACACAGACGCAUCCCCCAUCGGAUCAUCCUCAACACACCCCUCCCCAUCUUCGUCUCCUUCACACACUCUGCCCCAAGUCACCGGACUCAACCCAACUCGCCAGAGUCCCUCCAUAACUGCCAUAACAGACCAUACUCUUCAAAGAACAAACCAUCUUCAACCUCAAAACACCCCCUGAACUUCUACUUCUUCACUCUUGAACAUCCUUUUAAGUAGUCGAAGCCAUCAGCAAAGAACUCCAUCGACCUCAUAUCAGUAGCACUAAACACACACAUAGUCACACACUGAAGCAACAGAGGCACAAAAGCAGCAAACAAAAAUCGGGGCUGAACAGUGAGGCGUCCCAAAGCGUUUUACAACCUUUUUCCGGCGAGUUUCGAGUUCUUUGGUUGAGUUUUGAUGACUGUUUCCAUUGGUUCUUUGUCGAGGUUCUGUUCGAGGUCGACGGCAUUGUUUUCGCAUUCCAUUCACUUCGUAGAUGAUUUGUUGUACAAACUUCCCUUAUCAAUAUAAUCGGAAGUUUUUUGAGAAAGAAAGCUACCAUUGUCAUAUGCUUUGGUUUGAGAGGAGCUGUUGAUUUGGCACUCUCCUUAUCGUUUAAAGUAAGUUGUUUUCUGCUAAGUUUGCAAUUCAUAUGGCUUCUUGUAUCAUUUACUCUUGAAUCUUGGAUACAAAAUAAUUUUUACUUAGGUUACUGACAUGUCUCGAAAUGAUUUAGUAUAAAAUGUUUGUUGUUUUCAUUUUGUUUCUUAGUAUGAUAUGAGUCAAUAAUGAUUUUGAAUAUGGAAGACACCCAAUAAUUUCGCAGCUUUUGACCCUUUAUAACCCCAAAUUAUAGGAAAUGAAUACACCGUAGCUUGCUUUAGGCGCGAUUAAUAAUAAAUAUCGUGACUAUGGGUACGGUUCCCGUGACAUGGUCAUGAUACAUAAACUCGGGUGUGCAUUUAUAUGACCCAAAUCCAACUCUCAACAAUGUUAGAUAAAAUAUGUCGGGGACCGCGGGUGCAUUUAUGUGACGUGGUUCAAGACGUAUUUUAAAUAAUGUUGAAAUCUUCCUAAAAAAAUAAUUAAAUAAAAGUGGUUAUAAAGUUAAAAUUGCACCAUAGGCUAAAACAUGUACUAAAAUCAAGUAAAUAGGCCGAUUAUAACAGUUGAGCGACCGUGUUAGAACCACGGAAUCUGGGAAUGCCUAACACCUUCUCCCGGGUUAACAGAAUUCCUUACCCGAAUUUCUGUGUUCGCGGACUGUAAUACAGAGUAAAUCUUUCCUCGAUUGGGAUUUAAACCGGUGACUUGGGACACCAUAAAAUUAUCCCAAGUGGCGACUCUGAAUUUUUUUAAAAUAAAAUAAUCCCAUUUCGAUUGUCACUUAAAUUGGAAAAACUCCCUUAUACCCUUGCGGGGGUAGGUAAAAAAGGAGGUGUGACAGCUCUGGCGACUCUCCUGGGGAACGAACCCAGAAUCUCUAGUUCAGGGUUCAGAAUUCGAGCUUAGAAUAAUUGUUAUAGUUGGCUUUGUUUAUUAUCUGGUUUAAUUACAUGUUUGGGCCUAAUGUGCUAAAUGUUGCUUUUUACCGCUUUGAUAUUAUCUGAACUGUAUAUAAACUGCUACGAAAUCCUUCUCUUCUCAUCUUCGGGGAUGUGCACGCUGGCGUGACUCCUCCUUAUGUUAGUGUCAUACCUUGAAAUAAGAAAGAGGCUCGGACAAGUUACAAAGUCGGAUGGCCUUUUGGUUCUCUGUACGUAGCCCCCUCCUCGGCUCGAGUUGUCCGCUCGGGUACACAAGUCUAGAACAAUAUACCCAGGUUUUUAGCUUAGAAUAACUUAGCCUCAUGUCGGAUCCCUAGUAGGAACGUUUGUUUGUAUCAUGUGCAUUUGACUUUGGGGACUCAACACAGGGGUUGGGUCCGUCUAGGACAGAUGCACCUAAGUUAAAAGACCAUCCUGAUAUAUCUUACGUGCUACUUGUGUAUCUGUCUAUUUUGGCUUGCAUGCUGACUGGCUUCUAGAAUAGGGAAAGAAAAUGAAAAAAAAUGAAGAUCGAAAAAAAAGGGAAAAAAAAGAGAGUGAGAGGUAGGUAUUUGAAUUACCCUAAAAUUCUGUUGAAAUUUUGAAGAGAAAAGUCGUUUCAAAAUAAGUCAUAUUUUUCUGUUCCGCCGAAAAUGGGUAAACUAUGCGGGUCUGAUUCUCACCGGAUAUGAGAUACGUAGGCAAACCUCAUCGGUUCCGGCCCAUAAUUUUCAAAAAAUCCAAAAAUAUUUUCCUUUACUUCCUCUUUAGAAAAGUCUUUUUUUGAGACCCCAUUUUCAAAGUCUAAAAAUAUUUUCCUUUACUUCCUUCUUUAGAAAGUCUUUCGUUUAGACCCCAAUUCAAAAAAAAAAUAUACAAAAAUAUUUUCUUUUAAUCUCUCUCAAAAUCCAAAAAUAUUUGUUUGAAAAUUCAAAAAAUAUAUUUUCUCUUUUCUUUUGUAGCAUGUCUUUCAUAAAUUCAAAAUAAAAUUCCAAAAAUAUUUUCUUUCUUCUUUAGAAGUUUUUCUUUCGAAAUUUCAGAAAAAAAAAUUCAAAAAAAAAAUCUUUCUUCUUUAUAAGUCUUUCUUUGCAAAAAUGCUGAAGAAAAAUCAAAAUCCAAAAAUAUUCCCUUUCUUCUUUAUAAGUCUUUCUUUCGAAAAAAUAAAAAUAAAAGUUAGUUUAUUUACUUUAUUCAUGAUCUUCCCGAACUACGCAAGAUCUGAUUCAUGUUCCCAUAUGAUACGUAGGCAACCCACAUCACGUUCGAUCAACCAUUGAAAAGAAAAAUGAAAAAAAUGAAAAAAUAUUGAUAAUAAUAAGGACCGACUGAGUCCAUUCUAACAUGUUUUGUUUUGAAUUGUGAAGAAAGUUGAGGUGGUCGGUUUGUGGUAAGCUGGAAACACAAGAUCCAAGGAAAAAUGAUAACUGACAUCGAAGUUGUUACAAGUGCUCAAGAGACUCAGGUUCAGAGGGUUCAACAAGAGGCUACUGUGUUUGAGAAAAAUAGAUUACUGAAAUAGCAAAUGACCGAAAUGUGUCAAGCAUGGGCCAGUGGUCAAGGACAGCCUCGUAAUGAGUCACAAUUUUCUACACAGCAAGAGCAGCACCACUCGUACUCGUUUGAUCUUCCUGCAAACAUUGAGAAGCCUGCCCGAAAGAUGGUACAGGAAGAAAUGACCCAAAGAGUGAAAAGCUUUGAACAACGGUUGAAAAACAUGCAAGGGUUGGCCGGUCAAAAGAGUGUUGCCUUCAAAGAUCUAUGUAUGUUCCCCGAUGUCCACUUGCCGCCUGGUUUCAAGACUCCCAAAUUUGAAAAGUAUGAUGGACAUGGCGAUCCCAUAGCCCACCUGAAAAGGUAUUGCAAUUAACUGAGAGGUGUGGGAAGAAACGAAGAAUUGCUGGUGGCUUAUUUUGGGGAAAGCCUUACGGGAGUAGCAUCCGAAUGGUUUUUGGAUCAAGACACAUCUUGUUGGUACGUCUGGAAUGACAUGGCACAUGCCUUUGUCAAUCAGUUCCAAUACAACAUUGACAUUGCCCCAGACCGCAUUUCCUUUUCAAACCUGAAGAAGAAACCAAGUGAAAGUUUCAGGGAAUAUGCCGUUAAAUGGAGAGAGCAAGCAGCGCGAGUUAAGACACCCAUGGAUGACCACGAGCUAAUCACCAUCUUCCUUCAAGCGCAAGAGCCAGAUUACUUUCAAAACAUAAUGUCCGGAGUUGGUAAAUCCUUUUCGGAAGCAAUCAAAAUGGGAGAGAUGGUAGAGAAUGGUCUUAAGACAGGCAAAAUUAUAAGUCAAGUAGUUUUUAAAGCCGCAACUCAGGCUAUCCGGGUUGAAUUUGAUAAUUUUAGCAAUACAAAUGAGAAGGUUGAAGAAAUCAUGAUGACAUCAGGGUCGAGAAGAGGUCCUAGGAGAACAUCUCGAAGGUAUAAGCAGCCUCCUCAAGUUUCCCAUGACUCCCCUGAGCAGUAUUAUCUACCUCAGAACCCUUAAUACUCUGUCGCUUCACCUCGGUAUGUUGUCCAGCCACCGAAACACCCCAGAAGACGAGCACGAGCAUCACAAAAUCUCCACCAGCUUCCAUAAAAUUAUCAGGUGCCCUAUAACCCACAUCCAAGCCAGAGGUAUAAAGGGGGACAAAUAGUAAAAGAUAAUUUUACACCAAUAGGAGAGUCCUAUGCAAGCUUAUUUGAGAAGUUAAAGAAUCAUGACAUGAUUGUACCCAUUCCUCUAAAUCGUGUGGACCCACGUGCAAGGAGCUUUGACCCAUGUAAAAGGUGUGAAUACCAUUCCAAUGCCCAGGGGCAUAAUGUUGAAAGUUGUGGGGAUUUGAAAAGAGAAAUAAAAAGGAUGAUCCAGGAAAACCUGAUUCUGAUCCAAAGUAGUGACAUCCAGAAUAUCGUGCAGAAUCCUUUACCUGCACAUCAUGAUGCACACUUUGUGGGGAUGAUGACUGAUGACAUGGAGUAUGAGAAUCCUUUCGGGAACUUGCUAAUUGAAGUUAAUGAUGUUGAAAUUGGAGAAGGCUCUGCUGAUUCUGAUUAGCAAAUUUAUGGCUAAAUGUCAAGCCUAGCAAUUGAAAAGUCAUUCCCUCCUCACUAAGAAGGAAUCUUGGUAGCUUGUUUUGAUAUUUUUUCUAUUAUCUGGGUUAUUUCAGGGUUGUGAUCCAGAUUUUAUUUGUUUUAUUGAGUCAAACCCUUCUAUCCCUCCAUUUUGUCUGUGUGAGUCUUGUCCGUUUGUUAUGUUGCUAUUUUCAUUAUCCGAGUUAUUUUAGGGUUGUAACUCGUAUUUUAGGUUGCUUGAGUUGUAAAACCCUUUCAUCCUUUACUCAAUAAAAUACAGUUUGUCCUUUUGAGUCAUUCUGUUCCUAGUUCUUUUGUCGCUAGUUCUAAUGACAUGACAUGCAUGCGAAAAUUUUGGCCAUAUCUUAGGAACUGGAUUUAAUCUGGAAUUGGAUAACUAAGAAAAAAUACAUUGAGAUGAAUAAAGAGUUGGAAUACUUUGGAACUAAUGUCGAGUAAAANNNNNNNNNNNNNNNAAAAAAAAACAUGUCCCAAGAGUACAAACUGGGGCAAUUCUUAGAAAGUUAAAAAAACAUAGGAGCUGGGGCAACUUGUUUUGAAAACAAAAAAGAAAGGAAAAAAGAAAAGAAAAAAACAACAGAAAGAAAAAUGAAAUUUUUUUUAGUUAGGUCAGAUGUUUGAACUAUGUUCGACCUAAUUCCUUAAAGAAAGGAUACAUAGGCAGCCGCACGGUCUGGUCCAACCAAAUAAGAAUUUAAAAAAAAUUCCAAAAAUCCCCAGCAUCUAAAACUGGGGCAAAGAUUUUAUUUCAUUUUUGAAAGAGUCGAUUCCAAGAGUUGUAAGUCUACAACCCCUCAUUUUGAGUUUAUUUUGAGCCUUCAUGCCGACCUUUCUUUCCAACCCUAUCCAAAAACCUUCCAAAUAAAGACCUCCCAAUAUGCCUUCAAGAAUGCCAAGAGAAGCAUGUGAUGAGCAACAGUUGUCACAUGACGUAGAACACCAUCGAGUUUCUCACAAAAAGGGAAAGAAAAAGAAAAGAAAAAUGAGAGUCUUAUUAGUGAAAACCCUCACGGCACUGUAAGACGACGGUAAGCAGAGAUGAAUAAAUGAGAGAGACUUGUUGGUGAAAACCCCUCGGGACACCACUAGUCGAAAGUGAGUCAUGAAGCUGAUGCAAAGAAUUGGCACAGAUAGGCCCGACUUCAAAGAUCAUAAGAAUAGUAAAAGGGAAGAUAGGAUUAAUUUGAUAAAUCAGGUCGUUGAGUCCAAAAUGCAUGUCAUGAUCAUUGAGGCUAGUUAUUGAAAAAAAAAGAAAAAAAUUCUUCCUUCUGUCCUUCCGACAGGGGCAUUUCUUGUUAAUAUUUUUUUCUUUGCGUCAUUGUGUCAUUCACCCUGAGUCAGUCCUUCUCAAAACAAGCAAGAAAAGAUUUCAAAAUCUGCUACCAGAUUUUCAGUUGUACGAAGUAAAUUUGGCCAGCGCACUCAGUUGUUACAGUUAACAUGCCUUGAGGAUUUAUGCAAAAGCUCCCCCUCCAAGACUCUUGUCAGCUUACUUGGCGCAAGCAAAGAUAACUUGUGAUUCUCUCUGUCAGACAAAUUGCUCAAAAAGCAGGAAGUCAUUCAAGAUAUCGGAAAAGGUCACCUAAGCAAAAAUCUCUGGUUGGGAUAAGGCUGUUUGAGCUGCAAAUACAAAUGGUAAUGGGUGUGAAACAAUCAGAGUUGGUAUAGAACAAAAGUCUUUUGAGACCGACUCAAGUUGAUUGAGCAGAAGCCAAGUUGCCCAAAACUCAAGGCCACAAACCGACCACUAUUUUUAAAACUGACAAAUUUUUCUUUGUAUGAAACAGGAACAAAGCGGUGCAGGGAAAGUGAUUCAAAAAGAGAAAAAAAAUAUGAAAAAAUAAAAAAAGACAAAAAAAAAAGAAUAAGGAGAAAAGACGAGAAGAGCAGACAAAGGGAAGUUUCUCAAAUCUUGGCCUUUAUUUGUCUUGCUAUUGUGCAUAAAAUCUUGCCAUUUAUCUUCACAUUUUUCCUCCUAGGAUAAAAAAUCCUAAUCUGAUGGAUUUUCCUCCCAAUCGAAAUCCUAGUCUGAUGAACUUUCUCCUAGGAUAGAAAUCUUAGUCUGAUGAAUCUUUCUCCUAAGGUAUCAAAAAAAAAACCUAGUCUGAUGAACCUUCUCAUAGGAUCAAAAUCUUAGUCUGAUGAAUUUUUCUCCUAAGAUAGAAGACCUAGUCUGAUGAACUUUCUCCUAGGAUAGAUGUCUUAGUCUGAUGAAUGUUUCUCCUAAGAUAGAAAACCUAGUCUGAUGAAUCUUCUCCUAGGAUCAAGAUCUUAGUCUGAUGAAUUUUUCUCCUAAGAUAGAAAACCUAGUCUGAUGAAUCUUCUCUUAGGAUCAAGAUCUUAGUCUGAUGAAGUUUUCUUCUAAGAUAGAAAACCUAGUCUGAUGAAUUUUCUCCUGGGGCAAACGUCUUAGUCUGAUGAAUCUUUCUCCUAAGAUACCAAAAAAACAAAAACAAAAAAGAGAAAAGGACCUAGUCUGAUGAAUUUUCUCCUAGGAUUAACGUCUUAGUCUGAUGAAUCUUUCUCCUAAGAUAGAAAACCUAGUCUAACGAAUUUUCUCCUAGGAUAUUUUGAAAAAAAAAAGAGAAGAAGAAGAGGAAGUUUGGAUUUGAAAAAAAUGGGUCAAUUUUUAGUUUUCUUAAGAUUAUCAAUGUUUAGUUUUCCUGAAAUCAGGGGGGCCCGCCUAGAGAAUAGGGUGAGUUUUUACUUUAGUCAAGCUUAGUUUAUAGUUUUCCUAGUCUAUUUUUUAGUUUACUCUCAUCAUUGCAUCAAUAGAACAAGUGGUUAACAAUUUUGCUAACAACUCACAAAUCUUCCUAGUGCAAACUGGGGCAGAAAUAAUUUCUUUCGUUUUGUCUGUUUUGUUGUAAUCAGGCGCCCACCUGGAGAACAAGGGAAGACAAUUCAAGUUUCAAGGGAAAGCAGUUUCGAAGGAAGACAACUCAAGUUUCUAGGGCAAGCAGUUUCAAAGGAAGAUAGUUCAAGUUUCGAGGGAAAAUGGUUCAAAGUGCAAAGGAAAACAGUAUCAAGUAACAAGAGAAGACGGUUCAAGUUCAGCAAUCAGGCGCCCGCCUAGAAAAUAAGAGAAUCCAAUUCAGAAUGCAAUUCAGGUCAGCAACAAAAGAGGCUCGCGUCAAGAAUGCGAGUCAGUAGUCCGAGAUGAUCAACAGAAGUUAGUCACAAUCCAAAAUAAUAAAAAAACAAAACAAAAAAAAGAAAGACAAGAAGUGAAUCCAAAUGCAGAAGUUAAUAAAAGAUGUGAGCUGCUCAAGACAGGGCUGAGGUCACAAGCUCUGCAUGUCCCGUCUUGGUUUGAAAAGAUGAAGAAGAUUGAACCAACACCUGCGGCUAACAAGCAUCAAGAUUCCGAUCAGGGUCCACAUGAAGAAUCAGCAAAGACUCAAGAUCAAGCUUCAGAAGACUCAUAGAUAGGAAUCUUGUAACUCGUAGCUGAUAGGCUUAGUUAGUCUUUUUCAUUUUUGAUUUUGAUGUAAUAACGGGACCGCGGACCGGAACCUCGACGGUACCUCACUCGGCUCUCAACCUCGGUACUCCAUCACCUCACUCACCUCUGAACUACACGUGGCCUGAUUCCUUUAUAGCUAAGGAUAUGUAGGCAGCUCAGGUACCAGGGCUCGAUCACAUUCCCAUUUUCUUAGUUUUAGUCCCUCCAAAUAAGGGUCGGGUCAAAAAACCUGUUUAGUCAUUUUUUGUCCGAAAACUCUUCGCGUUUCCGAUCAAAGAGGGGCAGCUGUAGACAUGUGAUUUUUGACCCUCCCCAAGAUUUUUAAUAUUUUAGCGUAAAAUAUUUAAUUUAGG
rnacentral:lncRNA from 1 species